rnacentral:rRNA from 1 species
UACGUAGGCAGCAAGCGUUGUUCGGAGUUAUUGGGCGUAAAGGGCUCGUAGGCGGUUCGUCACGUCGGGAGUGAAAACUCGGAGCUUAACUCCGAGCCUGCUUCCGAUACGGGCAGACUAGAGGUAGGCAGGGGAGAGCGGAACUCCUGGUGUAGCGGUGGAAUGCGCAGAUAUCAGGAAGAACACCGGUGGCGAAGGCGGCUCUCUGGGCCUUACCUGACGCUGAGGCGCGACAGCGUGGGGAGCAAACAGG